rnacentral:misc_RNA from 1 species
AGCUCUUUUCCCAUGUGUCAAAACACGCAAAGAGUGUAAGUGUUAAUAUUACAGAAACAAAUUGAUGCAGUUGUGACUUAAAUACUUGCAGGCUAAAGCAUCUAUAGGUGAUUCUGCAAGCGAAUGUUUUAUCUUAGCAGCCAUACAAAGCUUUAGCUUGUAAAAGUAAACUAAUAAACUUCAAAAUGCCACACUAUUAACUAAUAUAUGUACAAGAACUCCCAUAGUUAUUAAAGGCUCAAGG